CGGGACGGGUGAGUAAUGUCCGGGAAACUGCCUGAUGGAGGGGGAUAACUGCUGGAAACGGUAGCUAAUACCGCAUAACGUCGCAAGACCAAAGAGGGGGACCUUCGGGCCUCUUGCCAUCGGAUGUGCCCAGAUGGGAUUAGCUAGUAGGUGGGGUAACGGCUCACCUAGGCGACGAUCCCUAGCUGGUCUGAGAGGAUGACCAGCCACACUGGAACUGAGACACGGUCCAG
rnacentral:rRNA from 1 species